rnacentral:rRNA from 1 species
UACGGAGGGGACUAGCGUUGUUCGGAAUUACUGGGCGUAAAGCGCACGUAGGCGGAUUUGUAAGUCAGGGGUGAAAUCCCGGGGCUCAACCUCGGAACUGCCUUUGAUACUGCAAAUCUCGAGUCCGGAAGAGGUGAGUGGAAUUCCUAGUGUAGAGGUGAAAUUCGUAGAUAUUAGGAAGAACACCAGUGGCGAAGGCGGCUUGCCAGAAUGCGCUCGACGGUGAGGGAUGAAAGCUGGGGGAGCAAACCGG